CAGGUCUUGACAUCCACAGAACUUGGCAGAGAUGCCUUAGUGCCUUCGGGAACCGUGAGACAGGUGCUGCAUGGCUGUCGUCAGCUCGUGUUGUGAAAUGUUGGGUUAAGUCCCGCAAUGAGCGCAACCCUUAUCCUUUGUUGCCAGCGCGUGAUGGCGGGAACUCAAAGGAGACUGCCGGUGAUAAACCGGAGGAAGGUGGGGAUGACGUCAAGUCAUCAUGGCCCUUACGACCAGGGCUACACACGUGCUACAAUGGCGCAUACAAAGAGAAGCGACCUCGCGAGAGCAAGCGGACCUCAUAAAGUGCGUCGUAGUCCGGAUUGGAGUCUGCAACUCGACUCCAUGAAGUCGGAAUCGCUAGUAAUCGUGGAUCAGAAUGCCACGGUGAAUACGUUCCC
rnacentral:rRNA from 1 species